CUUCACCAUCGACAUUGUUGGCCGUGCUGUCUGCUUCACUGGCAAGCACAAUUGGGGAAUCAUCAGAGACAAGCUUGAUUUUUAAUAACUGAUCAUGAAACAGGAUCAAAAUGAGCUGUUCUUACUUGGCUAGAUCAGAGUGAACAAUGCUUUAGAUGCUCCAGAGACGGGGUUCUUGCCGUGCCCAACGUUAUAAAACCUAUACGUGCCGGUGCCCAGCAAGAAGAUGAGAAGACCAAGUGCCAUGAACACCCAUGAUACCCCAAAUCCUACGACCCAGCUGACAUUAUCUUGGACAUAAUUGAGGCAGAUGGUGGCGAUGGUGGAGCCGGCAAUCAAGCAGAAAGUCCACCAGUUGAAGAAGGAGCUCUUGAGAUUGCACUCCUCGGGGUCGUUAUCGUCGAACUGGUCGGCGCCGAAUGCCUGGAGGCAGGGCUUCUGGCCGGCCUGUGCGACUGCCACAAGGUACAGGGAGAAGUAGAACAGAGCGAGCUGUAGCUUGCUGGGGGAGCAGAGCGUAGAGUCUAUGUUGCAUUCCAGUGGGUGGAAGGUUGGAAGAACAGAAGACAGUGUCAACAAGCCUAAUCCCUGAGAAAUGUGUUCUAGAUAGUCAUCAUCCUUCAGAUGAAAUCGUAAAGAAUGAACAAUAAAAAUAAUAAAGAAUCAUUGUUUUACCCAAAA